GUCACAGACAUGUCAGUCAGUUAAGUCUUCUGUGUCACAUUGAAAACUGCCAGUACUGAAGGAUCCUGGAUGUGGCCUCUUUAAACUGCUUCAUAAGUCUUGUGCGUCUGGGAACAAGGCAGUGAGAAGUGAAAGCUUUUUCUGGUGUAAGUGGCAUUAUGCUGGAGAGAAGAGAGAGAAAGUGACAGUCUCCAGACAAAGCAUUUUUUUAAUGCCACUCCUUUUAGGUUUUGUUCUGGAAAAAAAAUAUCAUCAGACAAGACUGCUGGAGAACCGGUUGCAAGAUCAAGCCACUGAAGCACAGAGGCAUCACCAUUCUAUGAGGAGGCACACAUGGAAAACUUAAUGAAGUGAGAGGAUUUGCAGCAACUGGUGCAAAAAUGAAGAGGGCAGGUGUCCUUCACUUGAUCACUUGCUUACUACUGUGGUUUGUACCUGGUGUGCUUCCUCAACCAACUUUGUACCAAGCAAUCAAUGGAGACACUGCUAUUCUGCCUUGUGCCAAUCAGACAUCUGAAAAACUGGACAUGAAGAAGUAUUCAAUAUACUGGCAGAUUGAGUCAUCAGUAGUGCAUUUUUUUCAUAAUGGGGCAGAAUCACUGAACAAUCAGCUUAAAAGAUAUCAGAACCGAACCAGGCUCUUUUUGGAUCAGCUGGAGCAUGGUAACUUUUCUCUAAUACUCUCUCAAGUUCAGCAUGGUGAUGAAGCUGUGUAUACCUGCAUCUACAGAAAUGGAGAGACCAGAGCAAUAGGGAAGCAUGCAGUUAGACUGAAUGUCUCAGAUAUCCAGCCAAAAGAAGGGAAUUCUCUUUACCUUGGUCAACCUUCACAUCAUCCUAAUUGCAGCAGCAAUGCAAAGGACUCAGAUGCGUUUGUUUUGUCUCUUCACCUCCUGGUGGUAAUAAUGGCUUGGAUUUUACGAUUGUGAAUACAAACUUUCAUCUUCAACCUUCUCCCAGUGAGUGACUUCAAACUGAACCCUUCUGUGUGGUUGACUAUCACUGUUCCAGAAGCCACAAAUGAGGCAUUGAUACUUGAGAAAAAGGUCACACUUUAGGUCAUCUAUGAUCCCUCCUUCUCCUUCAAAAAGAAAUACUCUAUUCACUCAAUAGGAAGAGGAGUGAUGGUGGAAGGCAAUGAAACAUUUAAAGCAAGCAAGUGCAGAGGAAGAUGAUCCCACCAACAGAUCAGCCAGACUUUAAAAGACAUAAUCUGGCAUUUUCAUCCCCUCUUCCUCAUAGAACAUAAGUUAAAUACAACCAGUUGACAAAAGUCUGAAGUUCUACUUGGUCUGGAUGCAAGCAAUCCCAUGACCAUUGACACCUAGUUACUAAUUCAUAUAGGAUGUAUUUAAACAAACAAAACAGGAAUACAGAAUGAUUUAAGCGUCCAAAGUUUAGGAAUGAUAAUUGUCUGGAUUGCACUGGUCUGUUCUUUGGAAUGCUCCAUGCAGGAAACUAAAGAAGAUAUCUCUCCAUGUUUAAGGUUGAAAUUAACUUCCUGUUGAUUAACUUCCUAUUUGGACCUGGACCGUUCUCAGUGGUGGCAGAUGACAGAACAAGAAGCAAUGGUCUCAAGUUGCAGCAAGGGAAGUUUAAGUUAGAUAUUAGGAAGAACUUUCUCA